GUGCCAGCCGCCGCGGUAAUACGUAGGGUGCAAGCGUUAAUCGGAAUUACUGGGCGUAAAGCGUGCGCAGGCGGUUAUGCAAGACAGAGGUGAAAUCCCCGGGCUCAACCUGGGAACUGCCUUUGUGACUGCAUGGCUAGAGUACGGUAGAGGGGGAUGGAAUUCCGCGUGUAGCAGUGAAAUGCGUAGAUAUGCGGAGGAACACCGAUGGCGAAGGCAAUCCCCUGGACCUGUACUGACGCUCAUGCACGAAAGCGUGGGGAGCAAACAGGAU
rnacentral:rRNA from 1 species